AACGAACGCUGGCGGCAUGCCUAACACAUGCAAGUCGAACGAGAACUUCCGGCCUAGGGGCGCACGGGUGCGUAACGCGUGGGAACCUGCCCUUAGGUUCCCAAUAACUGACUGAGAGGGGUCCUAAUACCGGUUGAUCUCUUCGGGCCAAAGAUCUAUGGCCGUUGGAUGGGCCCGGGUUGGAUUAGCUGGUUGGUAGGGUAAAAGCCUACCAAGGCGUCGUUGCAUAGCUGGUCUGUGAGGAUGGUCAGCCAGACUGGGACUGAGACACGGCCCAGACUGCUACGGGAGGGAGCAGUGGGGAAUAUUGGACGCUGGGCGAAAGCCUGAUACAGCAAUGCCGCGUGAGUGAUGAAGGCCUUAGGGUUGUAAAGCUCUUUUACCCGGGAUGAUAAUGACAGUACCGGGAGAAGAAGCUCCGGCUAACUCCGUG
rnacentral:rRNA from 1 species